AAUACGGAGGGUGCAAGCGUUAAUCGGAAUUACUGGGCGUAAAGCGCACGCAGGCGGUUUGUUAAGUCAGAUGUGAAAUCCCCGGGCUCAACCUGGGAACUGCAUCUGAUACUGGCAAGCUUGAGUCUCGUAGAGGGGGGUAGAAUUCCAGGUGUAGCGGUGAAAUGCGUAGAGAUCUGGAGGAAUACCGGUGGCGAAGGCGGCCCCCUGGACGAAAACUGACGCUCAGGUGCGAAAGCGUGGGGAGCAAACAGGAUUAGAUACCCUGGUAGUCCACGCCGUAAACGAUGUCGACUUGGAGGUUGUGCCCUUGAGGCGUGGCUUCCGGAGCUAACGCGUUAAGUCGACCGCCUGGGGAGUACGGCCGCAA
rnacentral:rRNA from 1 species